GAUCAACGCUGGCGGCGUGCAUGAGACAUGCAAGUCGAACGAAGGAUCGGGCUUGCUCGAUCCUUAGUGGCGGACGGCUGAGUAACGCGUAGGUGACCUACCCCGAAGUGGGGAAUAACUGCCCGAAAGGGUGGCUAAUACCGCAUGUGGUCGCACGUUCAUUCGUGCGAGUAAAGCCGCAAGGCGCUUCGGGAGGGGCCUGCGUCCGAUUAGCUCGUUGGUGGGGUAAUGGCUUACCAAGGCGACGAUCGGUAGGUGGUCUGAGAGGACGAUCACCCAGACUGGGACUGAGACACGGCCCAGACUCCUACGGGAGGCAGCAGUCGGGAAUUUUGCUCAAUGGGGGAAACCCUGAAGCGGCAACGCCGCGUGAGGGAUGAAGGCCUUCGGGUUGUAAACCUCUUUUGUCAGGGACGAUGAUGACGGUACCUGGCGAAUAAGCCACGGCUAACUACGUG
rnacentral:rRNA from 1 species